GGCAAGUAACCAUAUCUGGAGAUGAUUAUGGAUGAUUUACUCUGCUCCCCUAGUCUUUUUGAUAGCUGUAUUUGCUGGCAAGUAACCAUAUCUGGAGAUGAUCAUGAAUGAUUUACUCUGCUCCCUCAGUCUUUUUGAUAGCUGUAUUUGCUGGAGGCUCCACUUCAGUGAACAACAUUCAAGAGGCACAUGUGAAAUGUUACAGAUAAGCCAAAGUAAUAGAGUAAAAACAUUACUUUGUACAACACAUAUACAUGUAGCACUAAUUUGAAAUAUUGAUGAAAUCAUUUUGCUUCAUUGUGGUACAAGGCACUUUAAUGUCAAAUCAACCCAUCUUUGUUAUCAAGCUCACUAUGGGUACUAGUUUCCUGACAU